rnacentral:lncRNA from 1 species
UAUGUAUCUAUCAUAAUGAUUUAAUUUAUAGUGAUACAUUUGUAUGGUUAGUUUAUUGUCCAUAGAGGGAAGUAAAUCAUGGUAUUUAUUUAAGGCAUCUGAUUAAAGUGUGAUUCAGAACAGCAGAAGUUAGGAACCUCAGUGUCCUGUAGUAAGAGAGAGUCACAGGUAACCCCAGAGGGCAAUUGAGAGCCUGUACAUCUGGACACAUAAACACUCUUUGUGAGCAAUAGUGAUGAAAUAAGAGUUUCACUUCUGACAUAGGAUGAGUACACGUAAAUAAGCAUUCUCAGGAGUUGUCGGAGGCUGGGAUCCAAUUCAUCCUAGUCUUGUGUGUCCAUGCACACCUAAGCCUGGCCCUUCUUUGUAUGCAGCUCCUGUUAGGUUUAGACAGAGUCAGCCUGAUGGUGUCUAGCGCUAUUAUUCUUCUUGCCACUUAUGUAUGCCUCCUCACAGACUAUGAUAUCACAACUCAUUAAUCAGACAGCAGGCUGGCUUGAGUGAGAUCAGAGCAUGGGCCAAUGCCAGUGCUCCUUUUG